AUUGAACGCUGGCGGCAUGCUUUACACAUGCAAGUCGAACGGUAACACGCUUUCGGGUGCUGACGAGUGGCGGACGGGGGCGUAAUGCAUCGGAACGUACCCAGAGCUGGGGUAUAACGCAGCGAAAGCUGUGCUAAUACCGCAUGUGAUCUGAGGAUGAAAGCGGGGGACCGGGCAGCAAUGUUUGGCCUCGCGCCUUUGGAGCGGCCGAUGUCGGAUUAGGUAGUUGGUGGGGUAAAGGCCUACCAAGCCGACGAUCUGUAGCUGGUCUGAGAGGACGAUCAGCCACACUGGAACUGAGACACGGCCCAGACUCCUACGGGAGGCAGCAGUGGGGAAUUUUGGACAAUGGGCGCAAGCCUGAUCCAGCAAUGCCGCGUGCGGGAAGAAGGCCUUCGGGUUGUAAAGCGCUUUUGUACGGAACGAAAAGGCUCUGGCUAAUACCUGGGGCUGAUGACGGUACCGUAAGAAUAAGCACCGGCUAACUACGUG
rnacentral:rRNA from 1 species